GAACGCUAGCGACAGGCUUAACACAUGCAAGUCGAGGGCAGUCACGGGAGUAGCAAUACGAACUGGUGGCGACCGGCGCACGGGUGAGUAACGCGUAUGCAACCUACCUAUCAGACGGGGAAUAACCCGGCGAAAGUCGGACUAAUACCGCAUAAAACAGGGGCACCGCAUGGUGAUAUUUGUUAAAGAAAUUCGCUGAUAGAUGGGCAUGCGUUCCAUUAGGUAGUUGGUGAGGUAACGGCUCACCAAGCCGACGAUGGAUAGGGGAACUGAGAGGUUGGUCCCCCACACUGGUACUGAGACACGGACCAGACUCCUACGGGAGGCAGCAGUGAGGAAUAUUGGUCAAUGGGCGGGAGCCUGAACCAGCCAAGUCGCGUGAAGGAAAGAAGGAUCUAUGGUUCGUAAACUUCUUUUGCAGGGGAAUAAAGUGCAGGACGUGUCCUGUUUUGUAUGUACCCUGAGAAUAAGGAUCGGCUAACUCCGUGCCAGCAGCUGC
rnacentral:rRNA from 1 species